GCAAAGAGCGGCAGGGGAGCUGAGCGGUGGUGGAGGGAGGUGGAGUUUCCGGUCCCACCUCGUCACGCUCGCUCGGGGGAUGCUCGAGGGCUCCCGGGAGGGCGCGGGGAGCGGGUUUUGGCGGAGGUGCUGAAGUUGAUCCUGCUGUAGGGUGGGCAGGGGCUAAAGGUACAGCCAAAGGGCUGUGGCGCCGCGUCCCUCCUUCCCCUGGUGAAGCUGUGGCGCCCCUGCCUGCUGGAGCGCUCGAUGGGUCCUACAGAUCAGUGGCCGCUCUUGCCUCCCUUCUGCCCCUGCGCUUCCCCUUCGCGCUGCUGAGAGCUGCUUCGCUUGUUGUUGUUUGGGUUUUUUUCCCUUUCUGUGGCCACAAAGAACAGGAACCUCUUUUCUUUCUGUAUCUCUGUUUGUUUUCUUGUUUGUUUGUUUUCUUGUUUGUUUUGAAGGUGUGUUGUUGGGCGAGUGCUGGGAUUUCCCCCGCUGGAGAAGGGCCGGGGUGAGGGCUGUGAGGGUCCCACUGCCGCUCUCAGAGGCGGUCAGGGAGCAGGUUAUGCCAGUUGGAUUUUAAAUCUAUCGAACGUGAUUACUGAGCAGUGAAAUCUAUGAAGAGUGUAGUCAGUUAAGCCAAAAAGCAGCAAGUACAUAAUCUACUCAGAAAUCUCAGUAGGAUAAAUGGGGGAAACUUGCAGAAUUUAUCAUGUAUGAAUGUUAAACAACUACAGUUCUGGAAGAGUACUUGGAACAAGACAAUUUGGGGCAGUAAAUAAAACCUUUAAAAGUAUUCAAGAAAUGCAGUGAUUUCAUAAACGCUCUUAUGGAAAAUGUGUUCAACUCCAGGUCCUCUUGUGCUACUGUGUAAUGGCAGAGCUAGCAGAAGGCUGUAAUAUCAUCACAUGCAAUUGUACCAAUAACCUCUAAAGGAGGAAGAAAGGAAUUGAAGAACAGGCUGAAUUAUCAUGGAGAACAGUGAGAGAAAGGUGAUGUAAGCAGACUUUUGAUUCCAUAGGAGUAUGUCUAAUACAAAAGAAUAAUAAAUAGAAGACCUGAGCUCACUUUUCUAUGGAGCAUUCCAUCUGGAACAACUUUCUUGGUUAUAACACUGCUGUGGGCUUGUGGCUGCUGGAAUGCAUGGUAGCAGUGGACUGAGAAGCCAUGGUGGUCAGCUGUGGUAUGUGAAAUUCACUGUGCAAAAACUUGCUGUUUCUGAUUAUUUCAGAUCAGUUUGGCAUUGGACAACUGGCUGUUGAGAGCAGCUCAGGUGGGAAACUAGUUUGCAAAAGAUAUUUAUUGCAACAUCUUGGGAACCUUCUCAUUGCCCAACACUUACUGCUUUCAUUUUGUGCAUAGUAAGUUUCCAAAACACAUGAGUUUCUUUAAGUGGGCAUGUACUUUUUAUUUCUUAUUUCCUAGUGCCAAUGCAAAUGCUUCAACUUCCCUUUGUGGGAGAUAUUUUCAUACAAUUGAGUAUGCAGAGUGGAAGUGUUGCAUCAUACAGAAGUAUCUGGAACCACAGAAGUCUACUGGAAUGGAUAAUAAAGCAUGGCCACUGUGCCACUGUCAAUUGUGAUGAGAUGGUUCCUUGUUACUGUGUGAGACUGGAUGUACCACUUUCUGGGCUGUAAGCCUAUUUACUGGGCAUUUAGACAUUGGAAAGAAAUGCUAUGAAUGUGAAUGCAAACUGUCACAGUAAAAUAUCUGUUAGAGUCCAGAAAAUGAAGCUAGAAAGGGUUCAUCUUAACUUGGUGUCAAAGGCAAGGCCAAUUGAAAUUCAUUUAAUGUAGUCAUCUUAACACAUGUAUUAAUAGAGAAGGAUAGUACCGUUGUGCUAUUUCUACGCUGUUUUCAAACUGGUUUGUCUCCAUUUCCUGGCUGCGUGACUUUGAAAGAACUUAUAAAUAUGUUGCUUGAGCUGAGGUGCUCGUUUUG